UCGAGGAUCUUUAGCAAUGGGCGAAAGCCUGACUAUGCGACGCCGCGUGAGGGAUGAAGGUUUUCGGAUCGUAAACCUCUUUCGAUGGGGAAGAAACCUCCGGCAGUAAUGUCGGAAUUGACGGUACCCAGAGAAGAAGCCACGGCCAACUCCGUGCCAGCAGCCGCGGUAAUACGGGGGUGGCGAGCGUUACUCGGAUUUAUUGGGUGUAAAGGGCAGGUAGGUGUUCCAUCAAGUUGGGAGUGAAAUCCUGCGGCUUAACCGCAGAACUGCUUCCAAAACUGAUGGGAUUGAGGCUAGAAGAGGAGAGCGGAAUUCCCGGUGUAAGGGUGAAAUCUGUAGAUAUCGGGAGGAACACCAGUGGCGAAAGCGGCUCUCUGGUCUAGCCCUGACGCUAAUCUGCGAAAGCUAGGGGAGUAAACAGG
rnacentral:rRNA from 1 species